GACGAACGCUGGCGGCGUGCUUAACACAUGCAAGUCGAACGAAGUUGCGCACGGGUGAGUAACGUGUAAUCAACCUGCCCUUCAGAGGGGGACAACAGUUGGAAACGACUGCUAAUACCGCAUACUGUAGGAGGGGAUUGUGUCUGAUUAGCUAGUUGGGGGGGUCACCGCCCACUAAGGGGAUGAUCAGUAGCCGGUCUGAGGGGAUGAACGGCCAAAUUGGGACUUGGACACGGCCCAGACGCCUACGGUGUGCAGCACUGGGGAAUAUGCCGCAAUGGACGAAAGUCUGACGGAGCAACGCCGCGUGAGUGAUGACGGCCUUCGGGUUGUAAAGCUCUGUUAAUCGGGACGCGGUACCGGAAUAGAAAGCAACGGCUAACUACGUGCCAGCAGCCGCGGUAAUAC
rnacentral:rRNA from 1 species